rnacentral:tRNA from 3 species
GCGAGCGUGGCGGAAUUGGUAGACGCACAGGAUUUAGGAUCCUGCGCCCCGUGCAUAAGGGUUCGAGUCCCUUCGCUCGCACCA